GCUAACGGCUUAGCUGGUUAGAGCAUAGUGCUGACAAUGCCAAGGUUGCAGGUUCGAUCCCUGUAACAGCUGCA